GGAUAAUGUCAGCUCUACCUCCUCUGUGAAGGGAGAAUCGGGAAGAAAAUUCCAUAUAAUACCUAAGAAGAUCCAAAAUAUUUUUAGAAAAUCUGGAGUUUAUGUGUCUUCUCGGGUAGACCCAAUUCUUGAAGUAUGGGAAGAAAAUACAUCUGCAACAGUAAUCCCCACUGAUGAUGAAAAAUAUGAAACAGAUAAUUUCUAUGCGGUGUCUUCUGAGCAUAGAAAUUCUAUUCCUAAGGCUACUGCUGAUCGUGAAGCUUCCACCUCUACUGCUGACAGCCUGGAUGCUGCCGAGCCUGACCCAACAAAUUCUACAAAUGCUACUGACUGUCUGGCUGCUCUUGAGCGUGAGCUGACUAAUUCCAACAACACUGCUGACUGUCUGG
ensembl:lncRNA